rnacentral:tRNA from 1 species
GGCAGAGUAUUAAAGAGUAGUUGACAUUUGAGGCCAGAGCCCUGGGUUCAAAUCCCAGCUAUGCCA